GUCUACAGCCACACCACCCUGAAUGCGCCCGAUCUCGUCUGAUCUUGGAAGCUAAGCAGGGUCCGGCCUGGUUAGUACUUGGACGGGAGACA
rnacentral:rRNA from 1 species